rnacentral:tRNA from 1 species
CCAUUGCUCAGUUGGUAGAACAACAAGGCUCUUAACCUUGUGGACGUGGGUUCAAGCCCCAUGGUGGG